UUUGUUAAAACGGUUGUCUAGUGACAUUUAACAACGAGGCACGAUUUCGCCAGGCAUAGAAAAAAAAAGCUCUCUCGUUAGGACGCUGUUGUUUAGAAGAGCUGUUGUUUAGAAGAGCUAUCUAACUUAAGGGUGACCAGAAGUCCCCGUUUUUGGUGGCCUGUCCCCUGAAAUGUCCCCGUUUUUAACUGUGCGUUAAAAACAGACCGCAAGGUGAAAUAUUUUACUUGGCAAGAAAGACCCGGCAGCAGAGCCUACGGGUUGACGUCUCAAUCGCGUUGUGCUUGUUUAGGCCAACAGAGGGGGCUGCUCGCUAUAGCAACUUCAUUCACUCUUCUUCUACUAACUACUUGCUCGCGAUAGUUUUAGAGAAAACUGCUGUGGAAAAUUCGUCCAGAAGCAAGUAUCAAGUGAAUCCACAACAUCACCAAAAACGUCUUUUCAAGCCAGUAGCCGUGGAGAGGAAGACUGGAUACGAAGAAGAGUGAAGGAGACAGGAAGAAAGAUUGAAGAGGAAGAUGGAGUAAAAAGAGUGAAGCAAGGAGAGUGUAGAAGAGUGAGGUGGAAAGGUGAAGAGAAGGAAAGAAGACGAGUGAAGAAAAGAGGAGAAUAAAAAUUCUUUGGCACUCAGCGGGACUGGGAUUAUAAACUCAGGCAGAAUAGUGGCAUGCCACAUUUACAGUUUAAACCACAAUGACAUCCCGGAAUAUCAACUUGGAGAACUGAUGUCGUUUGACACUCACACUGAAUAAAGACAUGUUAAUUAAGGUAACUUCACUAGAUAGCCUGCAAUAGUGAUAAAAAAAUCGUCAUUACAUUGCCCCUUCUUAGAUGGCAUUGAGGAGAUUCUCAAAGUUGCUGCUCAGUGCGAUGCUGGAAUCCAUUGGUAUCUGGAUGCUUACCCAGCUCGGUUCUGUUCAGGUGAACCUGUACAACAAUGGCUAGAGCUGGCUGCAGUACUCAGAUGCAGAACCACAUUCCGCAGGACGACAGUGACUGCAGCGCCACCCUGCAAGGAGACAUGAUGGACAUCGAACAUGCCAAGGUCCUGUCAAUUACACGCAGCUUCCUCAACAGCACGCAGUUCCCGGACAAACACUACUGUACCUGGAGCUGACCAGGGGUACCUGGAGAUCCCCGUAAAUCUUGAGGAGGAGCACUUCCCUUUGGCCUUCUCGCUGGUCGUCCACCACAAGGUGAACUUCGAGAGACUGCUCGCCUCCCAAAAUAUGUACUGCGUCCACGUGGACAAGAAGGCCAAAGCGUCCGUUCUUGCCUUUGUCAUAGCUAUCACGUCCUGCUUUGACACAGUUUCUUUGGCCAGCCAUCCGUUAAAGUGUGGUGUACCCAAGUUGGAGUUGAGUCCACGCUGACAUCCAUUGUACUGGUGAUCUGUACAGGGAUAGCCCUCACUGGAAGUAUUUAAUCAACCUCUGUGGCCAGGACUUCCCCAUCAAGACCAACCAGGAGAUUGUGCGCAGCCUGCAGGCAAUGGCUAGGGGAAACAUCAUGCAGUCAGAGUCCAUGGCUAGAGGUAAGAAGGUCUGCUGGAAGAUGUUGCGGCAGGUUGUUGAUGGCAAAAUUCAAGGAACAGAGCAGGACAAAGACACAGACACGGACCCCAUUGCUAUCAGAUGUCUGGAGGAGUAUCUUAGACUGGCAGAAAUGCACAAAAUAAAAUAAUUUGUAUCCUCUGAAAUGUGAUACAAAGUUAGAAUGAGAUAAAGAAGGAUACGACAGUGAUGUCAUGAAUCACAAGUCAUCAGGAAGUACAUCUGCAUUGGGAACCAAAUCAAAACUUUUAUGGUGCCAUCUCUGUCUUGUCCUUCUUAAUGUCAUCCUAGAUAUGUUUUCUUUUGGAAAAAUAACCCAGGAGGUUCUAUCAAACUUUUACAUUUCCUGAUGAUUUCCUGUCUUACCUUCAUAUUCUGAUCGUUUAUUUAACAAGGAAAGUAAAACCACAAUGUGAUUUGUAAAUAGGGUGUUGGUAUUGAUAGUUUUCUUAAAUAUAUUUCAUUGACAGAUGAUAGUUAAUAAACUUGCUGCUUGGCGUCACCCUGAGAGAGUUUGUCAAAGUAACAUUGUAUCGUUGCUGCAGCAAAAUCAUUUUGAAAAAUAAAAUGUUUUUUUUGCCCCCAACUGUAUGUCAUUAGAAAUAACUUAGUGAUUGACAGAUUGACAGGUUUUAAACAAUUUAUUACAUUUUGAAAGCAUGUUUCUUCAAAUGAAAUCCAAUUUCUUUCAAAAACUCUCAAUCCCCAUUACUUCCCAAAAUAUAUGUCAGUUCCCCUUUAAAUACUCAUGCUUACUCGCUGCCAAAAGUUACAGUUUAUGCGUUAUAUGUUGUGUUGAACACUGCCUGCGAAGAAAUCAUAACUUGGGGACCUUCUGGGUUCUUGCUUCUCUUUCUUGUGGCGACAGACUAAUAAUGAAUCAUACAUGGUAGAAUAGCCCCUUCUCUUCACCACAGGUGUGUGAAGGCAGGACAAUGUGGUCUACUCUAAACCGCAGGAUCAUAUGUCAAGGGCCAGAACGGAUAGCAGGCACCAAGGAAUAAUCAAACACCGGAAUUCACUCUCUUAUCCACUCUGUGAGAAAGAGAGAGGGGGGGGGGGGGAGAGAGAGUAUCUUCGUUAGACUUGGCGGCAGGUAGCCUAGCGGUUAACUGUAGUGUGCCAGUAACCAAGAGGUUACCGAGAGGUUACCCGAGCCGACUAAGGUUAAACAUCUGUCGAUGUGCCCUUGAGCAAGGCACUUUACCAUAAUUGCUCCUGUAAGUCGCUCUGGAUAAGAGUGUCUGGUAAAUGACUAUAGUAUGGGCAUAGUGUUUUGUGAAAGUGUGGGAAAUGUUACUCUAUGAAGAAAGAUUUAGAAAUGUCAAGAGGGAUAUGCCGUCAUUGGUUAUAAGAGGGAGCUUCAAGGGGAUCCGUGUGAGAGAGUCAGAGACUAUGCCUUCAAGGAAUUCCUCACAUGCAAAUUAUUUAGCUUGUAGCUUGUUCCAGUUGAGCCUUUAGUGUUAGAUAACAUUGACAUUAGGGCUCAAGUCUCGUGAGCUGGCUGAGGGGAUACUAUGCACACAUGACUGUAAGUCGCUUUGGAUAAAAGCGUCUGCUAAAUGGCAUAUAUUAUUAUUAUUAUUAUUAUAUUAGUGCUCUAACCUUAGAUGGAAAAAGGCUUAGACCUAAAUACAUUUACUGUUAAUGUAUGAUACAUACAAAAGAAAUUCUUCGUCCUGUCUUGAUCAGUGUCAAAGGUUAAGGGUUAAUGGUUAGUAAAGGAUGAGAAACACACCAAGGGGUAAAGCGCACUGUCAGUACGCAUGCAGCUAGUUCAGCUCAUCCUGGGCUAUAAGGGGUUAAGAGGGUUAGGAAGGGAACAGAGAAUGCUAAAAAGAUACAGUUGUGCCCGCUGAAAAGUUUUUUGCCACCUGUGCCGGGAUGAAGGCGAGUUCCUUGUGGCAGCAAGUACAAUUGCAUGUUUGUCGAGUAAGUUUGACAAAAGUUGCAUUAAAUGAAUUCAUCUUAAAACAUCGUUGAGUAUUU